UGGCUCAGUCGAUAGAGCAUGGAACUCUUGAUUCUGGGUUGUGAGUUCAAGUCCCAC
rnacentral:tRNA from 1 species